rnacentral:rRNA from 1 species
AUUGAACGCUAGCGGGAUGCCUUACACAUGCAAGUCGAACGGAGUGGCGAACGGGUGAGUAUUGUAUCGGAACGUGCCCAGUAGCGGGGGAUAACUACGCGAAAGCGUAGCUAAUACCGCAUACUAUUGGAGCGGCCUAUACCGGAUUAGCUAGUUGGUGGGGUAACGGCUCAACAAGGCGACGAUCCGUAGCUCGUUUGAGAGGACGACCAGCCCCAAUGGAACUGAGACACGGCCCAGACUCCUACGGGAGGCAGCAGUGGGGAAUUUUGCACAAUGGGGGAAACCCUGAUCCAGCCAUCCCGCGUGUACGAUGAAGGCCUUCGGGUUGUAAAGCACUUUUGGCAGGAAAGCGGUACCUGAAGAAGAAGCACCGGCUAACUACGUGCCAGCAGCCGCGGUAAUUC